rnacentral:rRNA from 1 species
UACGAAGGGGGCUAGCGUUGUUCGGAAUUACUGGGCGUAAAGCGCGCGCAGGCGGUCUUCCAAGUCAGUGGUGAAAGCCCGGAGCUCAACUCCGGAACUGCCAUUGAAACUGUUGGACUUGAGUACGAGAGAGGUGAGUGGAAUUCCCAGUGUAGAGGUGAAAUUCGUAGAUAUUGGGAAGAACACCGGUGGCGAAGGCGGCUCACUGGCUCGUAACUGACGCUCAGGCGCGAAAGCGUGGGGAGCGAACCGG